AUGUAUGACUAUCACGUUCCCCACCAAGUGAAAUGUGCUAUUUCACCACAAACAUUGACGAAGUUAAGUUCAGUGCAGGGCGAAAAAUUUAUCAAAGUUGCUGAGGUUCAGGGGUCUGAAAUUAAGCCAUUUGUGGAUAGUUUAUCUAAAUGCCCAAAACCCACUUAG
rnacentral:rRNA from 1 species